rnacentral:lncRNA from 1 species
GUGUACAGACAGCAGGGACAACAGGGUGUGCAGGCGCUACGGCUGCUAAGAUAGCCUGGUCUACGAAGAGCUGAGAAAAGCCCAGUCAGAUGACAGCAGGAAGGAGCCUGGUGUAAAGGAGCUGUGCCAGCAAAACUUGAUGACAUCUGUCUCAGCCAUCACAUCUCAGAUCUCAGGACCAAGUGGAACCCUGUUAGCAUUGUCUACUGUUCUUUUCAGGAGUUUUCACAGCCAGAAUACAGCAAAUACCAGCAGCAAACCACUGAACUGAGGACGGGACCCCCGUUGAAGGAAUCAGAGAAAUGACUGGAAGAGCUUGAAGGGGCUCAAGAACCCAUAUGAACAACAAUGCCAACCAACCAGAGCUUCCAGGGACUAAGCCACUACCCAAAGACUAUACAUGGACUGACCCUGGGCUCCAACCUCAUAGGUAGCAGUGAAUAGCCUAGUAAGAGCACCAGUGGAAGGGGAAGCCCUUGGACCUGCCAAGACUGAACCCCCAGUGAACGUGAUUG